GGGUAGGGGCUGGGGGGAACUCACUCUCUUCAGCCAGUUUAAGCAGUGACAGUAUCAGGCCCAAGGAUAUCAUCUAGUGGAGUAUUUAUCAUCUAGUGGAGUAUUUCAUUCCAAAAGUGGUUUCAGUGAAACAGGGGAGAGCCUGAACGUAUUGUUAGUUCAAUGCUUUGCCAUCGGCUAAGGAGUUACUGACAUUCUUGAGUCCCAUGCCAACAAGUAUCCUCCUGCCUGGUGUUGCUCAUGCCAGUAGAACAAGCCUGAGUUUGGUUCUGAGGCAAAGGAAAGCCUUGAUCAGAGAAUGGAGAGGUGGAGGCUCCUGCUGUAGAUCACAGGCUCUCCCCGACCAGUGGUGGGAUGGGGUUGCUUUAUAGAGGCUGAGAGGGUGAGUGUAGGUGUGCUGCUCAGGGCUCUGGUUGCAGUGCUGGGCGCAGCGUCAGCGCAUACGGCCACCAUCUGGAACCCCAGUGCUGUGCUCAGCGCUCCUGCAUGUGGCCCACCAGCUCGGGGCUGAGGUGUCCCGCACAGCCUCUCUGCACACUGCUUGCAGCUGUGGUCUUCAUGGUGUCGUGUGCAGCACUUCUGCACAUGGCUCCCAGCUGAGAAGUUGGGCUCAGAGCUCUCUGAUGAGGAACUCUGGUCUGAAGUGCCCUAGGUGAGGCUUCUGCAGUCACUUCCCUCUGAGCAAGUGGAAAUAGAGGAAGCACAGAAGAAAGGGAAAAGAUAGUCUCUCAUACUCGAGAUUCAGAAUAGCCUGGACACAUAAGGCUUCCUGGCCUCGCACGUGUAUGUCCUAAGUCACUGCAGUCAUGUCUGACUCUUUGUGGCCCUAUGGACCAUAGUUCUCCAGGCUCCUCUGUCCAUGGGAUUCUCCAGGCAAGAAUACUGGAGUGGGUUGCCAUGCCCUCCUCCAGGGAAUCUCCCCGACCCAGGGAUUGACCCACAUCUCUUAUGUCCUCGCAUUGGCAAGUGGGUUCUUUACCACUAGCGACACCUGGGAAGCCCUGGAACAAUAUAAAGUUACAGUGUCCUGGCCACGGGACAAUCUAAAAUUAUACUAUACAUAUUUUUUAGAAAGAAGUCUACUUUCUUUAAAUACCUCUCUUUCAUGACAGUUCUUUGGUCCUGUCUUCAUUUUAAAAC
ensembl:lncRNA